rnacentral:rRNA from 1 species
UGCGUAGGUGGCUGAGCAAGUCAAAGAUGAAAUCCCGGGGCCCACCCUCGGAACUGUCUUUGAAACUGCUUAGCUUGAGGAUAGUUGAGGAUAAUGGAAUUCCCGGUGGAGCGGUGAAAUGCGUAGAUAUCGGGAGGAACACCAGAGGCGAAGGCGAUUAUCUGGACUAUUCCUGACACUGAGGUACGAAAGCUAGGGGAGCGAACG